rnacentral:rRNA from 1 species
UACGUAGGGUGCAAGCGUUAAUCGGAAUUACUGGGCGUAAAGCGUGCGCAGGCGGUUUUGUAAGUUUGUCGUGAAAUCCCCGGGCUCAACCUGGGAAUUGCGAUGGAGACUGCAAGGCUAGAAUCUGGCAGAGGGGGGUAGAAUUCCACGUGUGAGCAGUGAAAUGCAUAGAGAUGGUGGAGGAACACCGAUGGCGAAGGCAGCCCCCUGGGUCAAGAUUGACGCUCA